rnacentral:rRNA from 1 species
ACGGUAACGCGAGGAGCUUGCUCCUUGGCGACGAGUGGCGGACGGGUGAGUAAUGCUUAGGAAUCUGCCCAUGUAGUGGGGGACAACACGGGGAAACUCGUGCUAAUACCGCAUACGCCCUACGGGGGAAAGCGGGGGAUCUUCGGACCUCGCGCUAUUGGAUGAGCCUAAGUCGGAUUAGCUUGUUGGUGGGGUAAAGGCCUACCAAGGCGACGAUCCGUAGCUGGUCUGAGAGGACGAUCAGCCACACUGGGACUGAGACACGGCCCAGACUCCUACGGGAGGCAGCAGUGGGGAAUAUUGGACAAUGGGGGCAACCCUGAUCCAGCAAUGCCGCGUGUGUGAAGAAGGCCUGCGGGUUGUAAAGCACUUUCAGUAGAGAAGAAAAGCUUAGAGUUAAUACCUCUGAGUCUUGACGUAACCUACAGAAGAAGCACCGGCUAACUCCGUGCCAGCAGCCGCGGUAAUACGGAGGGUGCGAGCGUUAAUCGGAAUUACUGGGCGUAAAGCGCGCGUAGGCGGUUGUGUAAGUCGGAUGUGAAAGCCCAGGGCUUAACCUUGGAAUUGCAUUCGAAACUGCACAGCUAGAGUAUGGGAGAGGGAAGCGGAAUUUCCGGUGUAGCGGUGAAAUGCGUAGAUAUCGGAAGGAACAUCAGUGGCGAAGGCGGCUUCCUGGACCAAUACUGACGCUGAGGUGCGAAAGCGUGGGGAGCGAACAGGAUUAGAUACCCUGGUAGUCCACGCCGUAAACGAUGAGAACUAGAUGUUGGGAGGAUCUGCCUCUCAGUGUCGCAGCUAACGCGUUAAGUUCUCCGCCUGGGGAGUACGCCGGCAACGGUAAAACUCAAAGGAAUUGACGGGGACCCGCACAAGCGGUGGAGCAUGUGGUUUUAAUUCGAUGCAACGC